UUAAACUAUUAUUUAAUUCAAAUUUAUCCAGCAAAAAUAUUUUAUUUAUUUUACUAAUAUUAUCUACAUAUUUUAAUCUAAUUUUAUCUUUCAUUAAGAAUAAGAAAGCUAUUCUUAAAUUAUCUUCUAGACCUAGAGAUAACAAUUUUACUGAAAAUCCUAAGGAUAAUAAGUUUAAAGAAAAUUCUAAUAUACUAAAAUAAGUAUCUUUAUACCAU
rnacentral:lncRNA from 1 species